UACGUAGGGGGCAAGCGUUGUCCGGAUUUAUUGGGCGUAAAGAGCGUGUAGGCGGCCAGGUAGGUCUGCUGUGAAAACUCGAGGCUUAACCUCGAGAUGUCGGCGGAAACCAUCUGGCUAGAGUCCGGAAGAGGAGAAUGGAAUUCCCGGUGUAGCGGUGAAAUGCGCAGAUAUCGGGAAGAACACCCGUGGCGAAGGCGGUUCUCUGGGCCGAUACUGACGCUGAGGAGCGAAAGCGUGGGGAGCGAACAGG
rnacentral:rRNA from 1 species